GCAUUAAUGGUCUAGUGGUUAGGAUUGCUGCCUUCCAAGCAGCAGGGCAGGGUUCGAUUCCCUGUUAAUGCA
rnacentral:tRNA from 1 species